rnacentral:tRNA from 1 species
GGAGGGAUGGCUGAGCGGCCGAAGGCGCUGGUUUCGAAAACCAGUAGAGGAGGAAUCCUCUCGUGAGUUCGAAUCUCACUCCCUCCG